rnacentral:rRNA from 1 species
AUUGAACGCUGGCGGCAGGCCUAACACAUGCAAGUCGAGCGAGCGGCGGACGGGUGAGUAAUGUCUGGGGAUCUGCCCGAUAGAGGGGGAUAACUACUGGAAACGGUAGCUAAUACCGCAUACUAUCGGAUGAACCCAUAUGGGAUUAGCUAGUAGGUGGGGUAAAGGCUCACCAAGGCGACGAUCCCUAGCUGGUCGGAGAGGAUGAUCAGCCACACUGGGACUGAGACACGGCCCAGACUCCUACGGGAGGCAGCAGUGGGGAAUAUUGCACAAUGGGCGCAAGCCUGAUGCAGCCAUGCCGCGUGUAUGAAGAAGGCCUUAGGGUUGUAAAGUACUUUCAGCGGGGAGGCGUUACCCGCAGAAGAAGCACCGGCUAACUCCGUGCCAGCAGCCGCGGUAAUAC